rnacentral:rRNA from 1 species
UGCAAGUCGAACGAAGUAGCAAUACUUAGUGGCAGACGGGUGAGUAACAUGUGGGUAUCUGCCCUUUGGCCUGGAAUAACACGAGGAAACUUGUGCUAAUACCGGAUAAGUCUUUACGGAGAAAGCUUUAUGCACCAUUGGAUGAGCCCGCACUUGAUUAGUUUGUUGGUGGGGUAAUGGCCUACCAAGACUGUGAUCAAUAGCUGAUUUGAGAGGAUGAUCAGCCACAUUGGGACUGAGACACGGCCCAAACUCCUACGGGAGGCAGCAGUGGGGAAUCUUGCACAAUGGAGGAAACUCUGAUGCAGCGAUGCCGCGUGAGUGAAGAAGGCCCUUGGGUUGUAAAGCUCUUUCGUCGGGGAAGAAAAUGACUGUACCCGAAUAAGAAGGUCCGGCUAACUUCGUGCCAGCAGCCGCGGUAAUACGAAGGGACCUAGCGUAGUUCGGAAUUACUGGGCUUAAAGAGUUCGUAGGUGGUUGAAAAAGUUAGUGGUGAAAUCCCAGAGCUUAACUCUGGAACUGCCAUUAAAACUUUUCAGCUAGAGUAUGAUAGAGGAAAGCAGAAUUUCUAGUGUAGAGGUGAAAUUCGUAGAUAUUAGAAAGAAUACCAAUUGCGAAGGCAGCUUUCUGGAUCAUUACUGACACUGAGGAACGAAAGCAUGGGUAGCGAAGAGGAUUAGAUACCCUCGUAGUCCAUGCCGUAAACGAUGUGUGUUAGACGUUGGAAAUUUAUUUUCAGUGUCGCAGCGAAAGCGAUAAACACACCGCCUGGGGAGUACGACCGCAAGGUUAAAACUCAAAUGAAUUGACGGGGACCCGCACAAGUAGUGGAGCAUGUGGUUUAAUUCGAAGAUACGCGCAGAACCUUACCAACACUUGACAUGUUCGUCGCGACUCUAAGAGAUUAGAGUUUUCGGUUCGGCCGGACGAAACACAGGUGCUGC